rnacentral:rRNA from 1 species
CCUACGGGGGCUGCAGUGGGGAAUAUUGCACAAUGGGCGCAAGCCUGAUGCAGCCAUGCCGCGUGUGUGAAGAAGGCCUUCGGGUUGUAAAGCACUUUCAGCGGGGAGGAAGGCGGUGAGGUUAAUAACCUCAUCGAUUGACGUUACCCGCAGAAGAAGCACCGGCUAACUCCGUGCCAGCAGCCGCGGUAAUACGGAGGGUGCAAGCGUUAAUCGGAAUUACUGGGCGUAAAGCGCACGCAGGCGGUCUGUCAAGUCGGAUGUGAAAUCCCCGGGCUCAACCUGGGAACUGCGUUCGAAACUGGCAGGCUAGAGUCUUGUAGAGGGGGGUAGAAUUCCAGGUGUAGCGGUGAAAUGCGUAGAGAUCUGGAGGAAUACCGGUGGCGAAGGCGGCCCCCUGGACAAAGACUGACGCUCAGGUGCGAAAGCGUGGGGAGCAAACAGGAUUAGAUACCCCUGUAGUC